AAAAAAUCAGCACCCAGAUUUCUCCAUGAAACUGAACGAAUCAGAUCGUAUUCGGCCUUUAACAAUCGAAACUGAGCCAAAAAUUAGGCAAGAUGUGGAGAUUCAAAAGGACGAAUACGAUCUGAUUCUAAAGUUCUACAUGAGCUUCUGGAAGCCUUGAAGGACAAGCGAUUGAAAAAGCCCAAGGAAGACUAUACUUGUAUCUUCAUAUAUACUUGUCACAAUAUAACACAAAUUGGUCAAAAAAUCAACUCAAAUGAAUAUUUUUUAAUGCAUGGAGCUUAUCGUCCUUGAAACGCAUUCUUUCUCUAUAUAGCUUUUAUUAUUUUUUAUUUUAUUUUAAUGCAUUUAUUUAAUAUUAUUUAUUCUCGAGUUUCUUUAAGUUGUUGUUCAUUUGAAGAAUUAAAUUAUCAAAAUAAAAAUAUGUUAGUUUUUUGGUAAAAUUAACACAAUUUUAAAUCAAUUGUUUGUUUUAUUUCUUUUAAAGGAGAAGAACACGAACACAAAAUGUCUUGACAGGUAAUAUUCCUCAGGUUUCAGAAUCAUAGCAACGCUUCAACCUUUCAAAUAAGCUUUCUCUUACCCCA